UACGUAGGGUGCAAGCGUUAAUCGGAAUUACUGGGCGUAAAGCGUGCGCAGGCGGUUAUGCAAGACAGAGGUGAAAUCCCCGGGCUCAACCUGGGAACUGCCUUUGUGACUGCAUAGCUAGAGUACGGUAGAGGGGAUGGAAUUCCGCGUGUAGCAGUGAAAUGCGUAGAUAUGCGGAGGAACACCGAUGGCGAAGGCAAUCCCCUGGACCUGUACUGACGCUCAGGCACGAAAGACGUGGGGA
rnacentral:rRNA from 1 species